ACUCCUUAUCUCUCAGGAAGGAAGUGCUCCAGGCCCAAGGCCCAUUCCUACGUGGCAGAGUGGAGGUGGAAAGACCCCCGGCACCAGAUUGCCUUUCCUCACACUUUGCUGUUGGCAUACAAACUUGGUGACGGGCACAGAGACAAGCCAUUGUAGGCCACAACAAAGAGUUUGGAGUUUAAAGUCAUUAAAAGCUUCUUGUCGUUUCGUGUGUAACAGCCCCAGUGACUGGAAAACAGGUUCUGAGCACACCAUUGCCUUCGUGUAAGCCACCACCAACAGGGCUGACUGGGUUAUUUGCUCUGUGAGGCUCAGAGACAGGACGGUGCACGUCCAGAGUUUCCCUUGGACUCCUCCCCAGAAGCAUGCCAUACCUAAGACCUACUACCCUGAGAAGCAGUGAAGUGCUCCUGGGGCCCACCAAGGCCACACAAGUCAAGGAGUGGAUGGCCUUGCUCCAGCUACUGCUCAGAUCACCUUUGCAAGAUGACAUUGUGUUGGGAGAUGGUCAUCAGAGCCAGGGCCAUGGAAGAUGCUGUCAGGAGGCACGAGGAAAGGCUAUGGGAGCACAAAGCAAGAAAGUGGCCUUCUGCAAGCCAGGAAGAGAGGCCUCCCCAGAAACCAACUCUGUGAGCUCAUCGAUCUUUGACUUUUGGCCUCCAGAACAUUGAGAAAAUAAAAGUCUGUUGUUAAACCACCCAACCUUUAGUAUCUUUCUAUGGCAGCCUCAGCUGACUAAUACCCUUGGACACAGGUGGAGGAAUUGGUAAUUUU
rnacentral:lncRNA from 10 species